GCCCACGUAGCUCAGUAGGUAGAGCGCAUCCUUGGUAAGGAUGAGGUCACCAGUUCAACCCUGGUCGUGGGCU
rnacentral:tRNA from 1 species